CCGACGGCGACUCGCAAAUUAGACAAGAGUGUAAACAUAUCCAGACAAAGCUUUUGGAAGAUUUCAAGAAAGUUACAAAGAUCCUUAAAGACACAGGAUUUUUAUUAAUCUAACUUGCUGCUUGAGACUGAUAAACUAGAUUUAAGAAAUCGUCACAGAGCUCCAGAUUAGAAUCCACAACCACUUUCAAUGACCAGACUUCCAUGCAGUAAACUCUAUAUUUACAGAAGAUAAAAAAAUAUCUACAGAUUGAAGAACCAUUCUUCAAGAAAAGAAAACAGCUCUUGAUGUAGAACAGCUCACUUGAACCAUCUUUAUCUCUUCCACUUUUCUUCAGAGCAAAAGGAAUGAAUAACAAUGAAUGAAAGAAUUACAAUUUUGAAAUGAGUUAUUAUGGUUUUUAAUUGGCAGAUGUUUAAAGUUCACUUUUAAAAAAAGUUUA